rnacentral:rRNA from 1 species
UACGUAGGGGGCUAGCGUUGUCCGGAAUCAUUGGGCGUAAAGCGCGCGUAGGCGGCCCGGUAAGUCCGCUGUGAAAGUCAAAGGCUCAACCUUUGAAUGUCAGCGGAUACUGCCGGGCUAGAGUCCGGAAGAGGCGAGUGGAACUCCUGGUGUAGCGGUGGAAUGCGCAGAUAUCAGGAAGAACACCAGCGGCGAAGGCAGCUCGCUGGGACGGAACUGACGCUAAGGCGCGAAAGCGUGGGGAGCGAACAGG